GAUCAUAGCUAAAAUGUAAAAUAGCUUUUUAAUUUCAAUGUUGUUUUUCUUCUUUUUCCAAUUGGUUGGGUAUUAAAGCCCAAUUUGAGUCUCCCUUCUAGGCAACUCUGGUUUUCAGAAGCCAACACCUCUCAGUGACAGGUAGAGAAGGGAAGUUACAUAUAAAAAGUAAUAAAAGUCAAACCCACCCACACCUACAGAACAGCUCAACCUAGUAAAGAAAUAAAUGCCAGGAGUGACGUGAUGCCCUUAAAUGAGCCUGGUUUGAUUACAAGUCAUAAAGAGAAUAGAAUUCAAAAUAUGGACAGCCCAGGAGGAAUGACACUGGACUGAGGAGCCAAAAAUAGCAAGCAACUCAAGUCUACAUUAACAGCCUCACAGUCUCAAAGGUACCCUGGCCAAAUGUAUUUCCUCAUCCUAUCUCCACCAGGCC
rnacentral:lncRNA from 1 species